rnacentral:lncRNA from 1 species
GUUUGCCGAAGGAUACCCAACCCGGGUUGCUGAGGGAAAAAAAUGGAGCCAAGAAGCUAAUGAACUUGGGUUUAGAAUUCAUUCCCAUGGAUCAAAUCAUCAAGGAUGCUGUUGAGAGCCUAAAGAGCAAGGGAUUUAUUUCAUAAACGAAACUGAAGGAUAUGAAACUUAUGAGGAACCUAGUUAUUGUAGAAGUGGCGAGGACAUGCAACCUAAAUGAUAUAGUUAAUGGAUUGUGUUUAAUAUUAUGUACCAGUCAUGCCUCCGUGCAAUCUGUAUAUGAAUAAAUAAGCAACAUUUGAAUGUUCAUAAUCUUUUAUGAUGUGGUAUUUGCUUAAAAUUAAAAGUUAACAUAGUCCCAAACUCAAUUCUCAUUUACUGGUUUUCUAUUAUGAUGUGGUAUUUGCUGAAAUUCACAUCUAUAACCAAAUUCAGCUUCUUAUUACUGUUUUGUUGCUCCUUAAGAUGCAAAUAGAAAACCAGAAACCAUUUAGAGUGUUGGUUACCUUUAAUUAGUUGAACACUUCCUUAUCCUGGCGUAGACAGGUAUAGAGAGAAGUUUUUGGAUAGACAUGAUUGAAUUUGAGGGCAUUUCUAUGUUGCCCCAUUUUUGCAGACUAAAAGUGCACAGAUCAGUAGGAGAGNNNNNNNNNNNNNNNNNNNNNNNNNNNNNNNNNNNNNNNNNNNNNNNNNNNNNNNNNNNNNNNNNNNNNNNNNNNNNNNNNNNNNNNNNNNNNNNNNNNNNNNNNNNNNNNNNNNNNNNNNNNNNNNNNNNNNNNNNNNNNNNNNNNNNNNNNNNNNNNNNNNNNNNNNNNNNNNNNNNNNNNNNNNNNNNNNNNNNNNNNNNNNNNNNNNNNNNNNNNNNNNNNNNNNNNNNNNNNNNNNNNNNNNNNNNNNNNNNNNNNNNNNNNNNNNNNNNNNNNNNNNNNNNNNNNNNNNNNNNNNNNNNNNNNNNNNNNNNNNNNNNNNNNNNNNNNNNNNNNNNNNNNNNNNNNNNNNNNNNNNNNNNUUCCAUUGGAGGAUAAUACUAGAUAAGUAGUUAUUGCGAGAGAAUAUUUAUGUCUUUCAUAGGGAAAACUCGGGUGAAAAUUUCCUUAUUACAUGGCAAGAUGAAUGUCAAGCACUGACCAGUUAUAACAUAACAUAUGUUUAACACACCCUAUGGCACGUGACAAGGAAGAUGCACCCUAUCAAUAGUUGAGAGUCACUGAUAUGCACAAGUAAUUGAAUUUCUACCGUGAAAGUAAAUAUUUUUUAAAAAUUUAUUAUAACUUAUUCUAAAAAAAUAUGAGUGUCAAAUUAAAUUUUAGGUGCAAUGGUAGAUCAUGAAAUUGUAUCUUCCUUUUGGCAUUCGAGUUUAAAUCUCUCUCCCUAUAAAUUAGAGUAGUUUAGAAUAUUAUCCAUUCUUCAAAAUAAAAAAUUAGACAUGGGUAUCGAAGUUCUUUUCGGCUUGUUUUAGAAGGUUCUCCGACGUGGCCCAAAUCCAACUGGUCACCAGCAACAAGUAGCUGAAGUAACUGUAACCAAGUAAACCUCUCCUCUCGGAAGAGGUACUAACUAGGAAGGAUAAUAUGUCGAAGACAGAUGAGGUCGUAUGCGUUACCGGUGGAAGUGGGUGCAUUGGAUCAUGGCUCGUCCGUCUCCUCCUCGACCGUAAUUACACCGUCCAUGCCACUGUCAAAGAUCUCAGUUAGUUUACCCUUUGCCUUUUCUAUUUAUCUACACAACUGCCAUUUCCUUGCUGUUCAGUCUGAAACGUCGUCGUGUCGUUUUUGUUGCAGAUGACGAGGGUGAGACGAAGCAUCUAGAAGCCCUAGAAGGAGCAUCGACGCGUCUCCGUCUCUUCCAGAUCGACCUCCUCGACUACAACUCCAUCUUCGCCGCCAUCAAUGGCUGCUCCGGCGUCUUCCACCUCGCCUCUCCUUGCAUCGUCGAUCAAGUCCAAGACCCCGAGGUUGCUUCAUCUUCACAAAAAGGCCAUAAAAGAAGCUCAAUUCUUUGUAAUUAUGAUUAUAUUUAGAUGAAAUUGUUGUGCUUUUUGUUAUACAGAAGGAGCUUCUGGACCCGGCGAUCAAAGGAACGCUUAAUGUUCUGACGGCAGCGAAGCAGGCUGGGGUCAGGCGAGUGGUGCUGACAUCCUCCAACGCCGCCAUCAUUCCCAGCCCUUGCUGGCCGUCCGAUAAGAUCAAGGGUGAGGAUUGCUGGACCGAUAUUGACUACUGCAAGCAGAAGGGAGUGAGUUACUGAGUGCCUAAGUUCUUUGUUAUUAUAGUUUGAAAUUUUGAAAAUUGGGGACUGUGAUGUGAUGCUGAUUGUGUAUGGUGUUCGGUUAGUUGUGGUAUUCAUUGUCGAAAACUUUGGCGGAGAAAGCUGCGUGGGAAUUUGCCAAGGAGAAGGGAUUGGAUGUGGUUGUGGUGAAUCCUGGCACCGUGUUGGGCGAUGUCAUUUCGCCCAGGCUCAAUUCUAGCAUGGUGACGCUAGUGCGCCUUCUUGAGGGUAUUGUUCUCUGCACAUUUGUGUUUGAAUAUCUUCUAGGAUUACACCUGGAAGUAGAUUGUUGACUCCAUCCAAUUCUCAUAUGUGCAGUCUUAUUUGAAUACUCUAUUAUUGUGUAAUGUUCUGUUUCCUGAUAGUUUGCCAUGUUAUGUUGCCAAAUUGUUGAUCGAAAUCAUACAUUCAGAUCAGACAUAGUUUUGCAUUUGAUUGACAGUUUGUUUGAUAACAUAACAUCUCUAUAGUAAGAGAACAUUUCCCAUUUAUUAUUUGUGGUAACAUGAGACUAAGGUGACCACGUUCUUAUUGAGGCUGUAGUUGGUAGAUGAACCAGGAAUCAGGUGGACAUUAGAUAUUUUCUGAAAAGACAUUUCUGCUAAAGAAAGGUUUGUGUUUGGUGUUUAAAAUCUUGAAGUAUUUCUUCAUUUAUAAUACUUGAGUUUGUUUGAAGUUUUUUGCUUAGUUAACCCCCAAGUUUGGAGAAGGUGUAUUGCAUGAGAAUAAGUGUGUGUGGCAAUAGAGGAAUCCUUUUGCACCUCUUUGCUAGCAAGCAAAUACUUGGCUCCUUUCCUGCAAAUCACCCUUUCACAUGUGUGCAGAAUUUAUUUUUAUUUUUCUUUCUUUCGAGCGUUUAAUGAGUUAUCUUUGCACACGUGUGAAGCUGUGAUUCGCAAGUACAUAGGACUGGCUUCGUCCAGAUACGAAGCCAUGCAGAGUCCCUGCUAGCAUAUGUUUCUCUUUAAGUUUGAUAGUUUAUGUCAUUAAAGGGUCGGUUUUUGGUUUCCUUAAAUUGUUUAUCCAUGUCACCUUAUCUCUUCUUCUGGUUAGUGGAGGACUGGACAGGAGGGUAAUGGCCCUAGAGACAUCAUGGCUGAAGUAAAAAGGAAAAUCGAUCAACCUUAAAAAGAAAAAUAAUUGACAAUAUCCUUGUCAAUCUUUGCUGCAGGCUGCACUGAAACAUACGAGAACAUCUUUAUGGGAUCUGUGCAUUUUAAAGAUGUAGCUCUUGCACACAUUUUAGUGUAUGAGAACAAAUCGGCCACUGGUAGACACCUGUGCGUUGAAGCUAUAUCACAUUAUGGUGACUUCGUGGCCAAGGUAGCUGAACUUUACCCUGAGUACAAGGUGCCGAGGUAAAUUCCAGUCCUUGGACACCUGUAAAGUGGUUUUGCAACUGAAUCUAUGUGCAUAUAUAUAUUUUUCCAUAACUAUGUGCAUAUAUAUAUAUAUUUUUUUGCCAUAACUAUGUGCAUAUCUUAAGUUUAGGAGUUUGGUUUCCUGAUAACAACAAUAAGCAUCAGAACGUCAAAUAUGCAGUAUUGUGAAACUGAUACCCUAUGUUAUAAUUGAUAGCAAAACAACAGAUGAUCAAGCUCGACCUCAUCAUAACACAGCUACAGCUCAAUGUACUGAAAUUAUGUUCUCACAAAUGGUUCUAACUGAUUGUAUUUAGUUAGACAGGUUGAGUGAUUUUAGGGAUUAGUCUGUAACUGUAUUGCUAAAGCUUACUAUAAAUACUUGUAAAUCCUUCUCCAUAAAUUAAUGAGAGAAAAUCUGUUAUUUUACAAUAAUUAUUGUCAAGACAUCAAAUGCUUCCUUGCAACUUCUUUAACUGCCAGUACUCCUUUUACAGUCAUUUCAUGAACAUAUGGCUUUGAAAUUGCUCAAGCUAUUAAUAUGUUUAUUAUUGUGCAGUUUGCCGAAGGAUACCCAACCUGGGUUGCUGAGGGAAAAAAAUGGAGCGAAGAAGCUAAUGAACUUGGGUUUAGAAUUCAUUCCCAUGGAUCAAAUCAUCAAGGAUGCUGUUGAGAGCCUAAAGAGCAAGGGAUUUAUUUCAUAAACGAAACUGAAGGAUAUGAAACUUAUGAGGAACCUAGUUAUUGUAGAAGUGGUGAGGACAUGCAACCUAAAUGAUAUAGUUAAUGGAUUGUGUUUAAUAUUAUGUACCAGUCAUGCCUCCGUGCAAUCUGUAUAUGAAUAAAUAAGCAACAUUUGAAUGUUCAUAAUCUUUUAUGAUGUGGUAUAACAUGGGUGAAAGGAUGAGUAAACAAUACAAGUACCGGCCCGAGUGGUUAAGAAUUUGACCCUUGUUGGAAUUGUUCUCAUUAUGGUUCUGCUAUCUGUGAAAUUUCCUUCGAUGCAUAUCAAUCUCAGGUUCUUGCAAUUUUCUUAUUGUGCUGUUUUAGGCGGUCUACAAGCAGCCUGUGUUGGCUGUGCUGGUUUUGCUGCAUUUUCAGUGCUGAUAGAGAAGUUUUUGGAUAGACAUGAUUGAAUUUGAGGGCAUUUCUAUGUUGCCCCAUUUUUGCAGACUAAAAGUGCACAGAUCAGUAGGAGAGAAAUAGCAUCUUGGCCUGCAGUAAUACAGAUGUUUUGCUUAGAUUCAACUUCAGCCCUUGUUAUUAUUAUUUAUCCCCUUUUAUAAAGGGAUGUACCAGCUAAAUUACAAAGCCAAUCAUUUUGUAUUAUGUUAUUCUGUUGACUGCAGUUCCAGUUUCAUAAUUUCAACAGAGGAUAUGUAACUGAGGAAAUUGAAUGGAUUAUAGAGAAUGUUUGCUGCAAGAUUCAAGUAAGUACGUAGAAGGGAAUUUCUUGUUCCAUUGUUGUAUUAAUACCACAAUACAAUACUAGACUAGAAAUGGUAAUGAAUUUUUUUUUUUUCUCUGAUUGACGAAAGAGGGGAUUCGAACUUGAGAUUUCUUCUUUCCAUUGGAGGAUAAUACUCUUUAAGUAGUUAUUGCGAGAGAAAAUUUGUGUCUUUGAUUGGAAAAACUCGGGUGAGAAUUUCCUUAUCACAUGGCAGGAUGAAUGUCAAACAUUGACCAGUUCUAACAUAACAUGUGUUUAUAACACACGCUAUAGCACGUGACAAGGAAGAUCCACCCUAUCAAAAAUUGAGAGUCACUAGAAUGCACAAGUAAUUAAAUUUCUACCAUGAAAGUAAAUUUUUUUUAAAAUUUAUUAUAACUUAUUCUAAAAAAAUAUCAGUGGCAAAUUAAAUUUUAGGUGCAAUAGUAGAUCAUGAUAUUGUAUCUUCCUUUUGGCAUUCGAGUUUAAAUCUCUCUCCCUGUAAAUUAGAGUAGUUUAGAAUAUUAUCCAUUCUUCAAAAUAAAAAAUUAGACAUGGGUAUCGAAGUUCUUUUCGGCUUGUUUUAGAAGGUUCUCCGACGUGGCCCAAAUCCAACUGGUCACCAGCAACAAGUAGCUGAAGUAACUGUAACCAAGCAAAGCUCUCCUCUCGGAAGAGGUACUAACUAGGAACGAUAAUAUGUCGAAGACAGGUGAGGUCGUAUGCGUUACCGGUGGAAGUGGGUGCAUUGGAUCAUGGCUCGUCCGUCUCCUCCUCGACCGUAAUUACACCGUCCAUGCCACUGUCAAAGAUCUCAGUUAGUUUACCCUUUGCCUUUUCUAUUUAUCUACACAACUGCCAUUUCCUUGCUGUUCAGUCUGAAACGUCGUCGUGUCGUUUUUGUUGCAGAGGACGAGGGUGAGACGAAGCAUCUAGAAGCCCUAGAAGGAGCAGCGACGCGUCUCCGUCUCUUCCAGAUCGACCUCCUCGACUACAACUCCAUCUUCGCCGCCAUCAAUGGCUGCUCCGGCGUCUUCCACCUCGCCUCUCCUUGCAUCGUCGAUCAAGUCCAAGACCCCGAGGUUGCUUCAUCUUCACAAAAAGGCCAUAAAAGAAGCUCAAUUCUUUGUAAUUAUGAUUAUAUUUAGAUGAAAUUGUUGUGCUUUUUGUUAUACAGAAGGAGCUUCUGGACCCGGCGAUCAAAGGAACGCUUAAUGUUCUGACGGCAGCGAAGCAGGCUGGGGUCAUUCGAGUGGUGCUGACAUCCUCCAUCUCCGCCAUCACUCCCAGCCCUCGCUGGCCGUCCGAUAAGAUCAAGGGUGAGGAUUGCUGGACCGACAUUGACUACUGCACGCAGAAGGGAGUGAGUUACUGAGUGCCUAAGUUCUUUGUUAUUAUAGUUUGAAAUUUUUAAAAUUGGGGAUUGUGAUGUGAUGCUGAUUGUGUUUGGUGUUUGGUUAGUUGUGGUAUCCAUUGUCGAAAACUUUGGCAGAGAAAGCUGCGUGGGAAUUUGCCAAGGAGAAGGGAUUGGAUGUGGUUGUAGUGAAUCCUGGCACCGUGAUGGGCGAUGUCAUUUCGCCCAGGCUCAAUGCUAGCAUGGUGAUGCUAGUCCGCCUUCUUGAGGGUAUUGAUCUCUGCGCAUUUGUGUUUGAAUAUCUUCUAGCGUUGCACCUAGAAGUAGAUUGUUGACUCCAUCCAAUUCUCAUAUGGGCAGUCUUAUUUGAAUACUCUAUUAUUGUGUAAUGUUCUGUGGCCUGAUAGUUUGCCAUGUUAUGUUGCCAAAUUGUCAAUCGAAAUCAUAAAUUCAGAUCAGACAUAGUUUUGCAUUUGAUUGACAGUUUGUUUGAUAACAUAACAUCUCUGUAGUAAGAGAACAUUUCCCAUUUAUUAUUUGUGGUAACAUGAGACUAGGCGACCAAGUUCUUAUUGAGGCUGUAGUUGGUAGAUGAACCAGAAAGCAGGUGGACAUUAGAUCUUCUGAAAAGACAUUUCUGCUAAAGAAAGGUUUGAGUUUGGUUUUUAAAAUCUUGAAGUAUUUCUUCAUUUAUAAUACUUGAGUUUGUUUGAAGUUUUUUGCCUAGUUAGUCCCCAAGUUUGGAGAAGGUGGAUUGUAUGAGAAUGAGUGUGUGUGGCAAUAGAGGAAUCCUUUUGCACCUCUUUGCUAGCAAGCAAAUACUUGGCUCCUUCUUUCCUGCAAAUCACCCUUUCACAUGUGUGCAGAAUUUAUUUAUUUUUUUCUUUCUUUUGAGCGUUUAAUGAGUUAUCUUUGCACACGUAUGAAGCUGUGAUUUGCAAGUACAGAGGACUGGCUCCUUCCAGAUAAGGAGCCAAGCAGAGUUCCUGCUAGCAUAUGUUUCUCUUUAAGUUUGAUAGUUUAUGUCAAUAAAGGGUCGGUUUUUGGUUUCCUUAAAUUGUCUAUCCAUGUCACCUUAUCUCUUAUCCUGGUUAGUGGAGGACUGGACAGAAGGGUAAUGGCCCUAGAAACAUCAUGACUGAAGUAACAAGGAAAAUCGAUCAACCUUAAAAAGAAAAAGAAUUGACAAUAUCCUUGUCAAUCUUUGCUGCAGGCUGCACUGAAACAUACGAGAACUUCUUUAUGGGAUCUGUGCAUUUUAAAGAUGUAGCUCUUGCACACAUUUUAGUGUAUGAGAACAAAUCGGCCACUGGUAGGCACCUGUGCGUUGAAGCUAUAUCACAUUAUGGUGACUUCGUGGCCAAGGUAGCUGAACUUUACCCCGAGUACAAGGUUCCGAGGUAAAUUCCAGUCCUUAGACUCCUGUAAAGUGGUUUUGCAACUGAAACUAUGUGCAUAUAUAUAUAUAUAUAUAUAUUUUUUGCCAUAACUAUGUGCAUAUAUAUUUUUUGGGUCAUAACUAUGUGCAUAUCUUAUGUUUAGGAGUUUGGUUUCCUGAUAACAACAAUAAGCGUCAGAAUGUCAAAUAUGCAGUAUCGUGAAACUGAUACCCUAUGUUAUAAUUGAUAGCAAAACAACAGAUGAUCAAGCUCAACCUCAUCAUAACACAGCUAGAGCUCAAUGUACUGAAUUAUGUUCUCACAAAUGGUUCUAACUGAUUGUAUUUACUUAGACAGGUUGAGUGGUUUUGGGGAUUAGUCUGUAACUGUAUUGCUAAAGCUUACUAUAAGUACUUGUAAAUCCUUCUCCAAAAAUUAAUGAGAAAAAAUAUGUUAUUUUACAAUAAUUACUGUCAAGACAUCAAAUGCUUCAUUGCAACUUCUUUUACUGCCAGCACUCCUUUUACAGUCAUUCCAUGAACACAUGGCUUUGAAAUUGCCCAAGCUAUUAAUACGUUUAUUAUUGUGCAGUUUGCCGAAGGAUACCCAACCUGGAUUGCUGAGGGAAAAAAAUGGAGCGAUGAAGCUAAUGAACUUGGGUUUAGAAUUCAUUCCCAUGGAUCAAAUCAUCAAGGAUGCUGUUGAGAGCCUAAAGAGCAAGGGAUUUAUUUCAUAAACGAAACUGAAGGAUAUGAAACUUAUGAGGAACCUAGUUAUUGUAGAAGUGGUGAGGACAUGCAACCUAAAUGAUAUAGUUAAUGGAUUGUGUUUAAUAUUAUGUACCAGUCAUGCCUCCAAGCAAUCUGUACAUGAACAAAUAAGCAACAUUUGAAUGUUCAUAAUCUAUUAUACUGUGGUAUUUGCUUAAAAUUAAAAGUUUACAUAGUCCCAAACUCAAUUCUCAUUUACUGGCUCAAGGUGCAGCGGAUGGUGAAAAGCUACAAUUUUUAUUUAUUUUCGUAUUCACAAACAUUAAGCUAGUAAGGCAAAGACAUUAAAUUCAUCGUAUUUGUAACUCAAGCGAUUAUGAGCAUAAAUAUGAAUUUUUGAGCAAAACUUAUU